rnacentral:lncRNA from 1 species
GGGGGGAGCUCACAGGGAGGACCUAGAGCAUCUGUGUGAGUCAGUAAACAGAUUGCUGUGCAAGCAUGAGAACCGGAGUUGGAAUGCUCGGCACCCAGGUAAAGAGCUCUGCAGUUCCAAUGAAGACAAUCGCAAUACUGAGCAAGUAGAGACCGGUGAAUCCUGGGAGAUUUCUGGCUAGCCAGUCUGCCUAAUUGAAGCUCUGGAUUCAGGGAAAGACCUCUGCUCAAAAACAAACAAGCAAACAAGAUGGGAACUGAUUGAGACAGACAGGUGAUAUUGACCACCUGCCUCCACACAAAUGUACACAUAAGUGCACAUACACACCACACACACACAAGUGUGAAACGUGCAGGGGGUGGUUGGGAAUGUAGCUCCC